AUUGAACGCUGGCGGCGUGCCUAACACAUGCAAGUCGAGCGGUAACAGGUGUAGCAAUACAUGCUGACGAGCGGCGAACGGGUGAGUAAUGCUUCGGAAUCUGCCCAUGUAGUGGGGAAUAACCAGCCGAAAGGUUGGCUAAUACCGCAUACGACCUACGGGUGAAAGCAGGGGAUCGCAAGACCUUGCGCUAUUGGAUGAGCCGAAGUCGGAUAGCUAGUUGGUAGGGUAACGGCCUACCAAGGCGACGAUCCGUAGCUGGUCUGAGAGGACGACCAGCCACACUGGGACUGAGACACGGCCCAGACUCCUACGGGAGGCAGCAGUGGGGAAUAUU
rnacentral:rRNA from 1 species